UACGAAGGGGGGCUAGCGUUGCUCGGAAUUAUUGGGCGUAAAGCGCACGUAGGCGGCUUGGCAAGUCGGAUGUGAAAUCCCUCGGCUCAACCAAGGAAGUGCAUCCGAAACUGCUGAGCUUGAGUACUUAAGAGGAUCGCGGAAUUCCCGGUGUAGAGGUGAAAUUCGUAGAUAUCGGGAGGAACACCAGUGGCGAAGGCGGCGUCUGGGAAGAUACUGACGCUGAGGUGCGAAAGCGUGGGGAGCAAACAGG
rnacentral:rRNA from 1 species